rnacentral:lncRNA from 1 species
GCAGAACAGGAGUAGCCAGUUCUGACCACUGCCUGCCUCUCUCACACAGACGCGUCGGAAUGCCAAGUGGCUGACAGUGGAGAUGAUGCAGGAUGGCCACCAGGUGUCCCUGCUAAGUGGAGAACUCACGGUGGAGCAGCGGGCUUCCAUCAUUCAGAGGUUCCGAGAUGGCAAAGAGAAGGUUCUCAUAACAACCAAUGUCUGUGCUCGAGGAAUCGAUGUGAAGCAGGUCACCAUCGUUGUGAACUUUGACCUCCCUGUAAACCAGUCAGAAGAGCCAGACUAUGAGACCUACCUCCACCGUAUAGGGCGGACGGGACGCUUUGGGAAAAAAGGUCUCGCCUUCAACAUGAUUGAAGUGGAUAAGCUGCCCCUGCUCAUGAAAAUACAAG